rnacentral:misc_RNA from 1 species
AAGUCGUAACAAGGUCUCCGUAGGUGAACCUGCGGAGGGAUCAUUACAGAGUUCAUGCCCUUCGGGGUAGAUCUCCCACCCGUGUCAUCACACCUUUGUUGCUUUGGCGGGCCCGCCUCGGCCACCGGCUCCGGCUGGUGAGCGCCCGCCAGAGGACCCCAAACUCUGAAAUUUAGUGUCGUCUGAGUACUAUAUAAUAGUUAAAA